rnacentral:tRNA from 1 species
GGUGGGGUUCCCGAGCGGCCAAAGGGAGCAGACUGUAAAUCUGCCGUCAUCGACUUCGCAGGUUCGAAUCCUUCCCCCACCACCA